AUACGGAGGAUCCGAGCGUUAUCCGGAUUUAUUGGGUUUAAAGGGUGCGCAGGCGGCCAUUUAAGUCAGCGGUUAAAUCGUGGGGCUCAACCCCAUUCUGCCGUUGAUACUGGGUGGCUUGAUUGCGGUCGAGGUUGGCGGAAUUCGUUGUGUAGCGGUGAAAUGCAUAGAUAUGACGAAGAACACCGAUUGCGUAGGCAGCUGACCAGACCGCAAAUGACGCUCAUGCACGAAAGUGCGGGGAUCGAACAGGAUUAGAUACCCUGGUAGUCCGCACAGUAAACGAUGAAUACUUGUUUUCGGCGAUAUAAUGUCGGAGGCAAAGCGAAAGCGAUAAGUAUUCCACCUGGGGAGUACGCCGGCAACGGUGAAACUCAAAGGAAUUGGCGGGG
rnacentral:rRNA from 1 species